GGAGUAAAUAAUGACUAGUUUUAGUCCCAGACUAAAAUGAAGGUUUGAGCUGUUUUGACAGAAAAUAACUUGCCUUGACAUUUCUUAAAAUACAUCAGUGCCAUUGUUUUGUCUCAAGAUGCACACCAGAAGUGUUUAUUUUUAAAGCAUUUUUAUAAAAGCGACUUAAAUAUCCUAAUUUAUAAACCGGCCCAUCAUCUGCUCCGGCAUGAGCAUUGUCAGUUCAACACAUUAGCAAAGAGCGCAAGCGGAUUGGACCAAAGUAGGCGGGGCUUAAUGUGUCAUAACGUAAGCGUCGGCCACACAGUGCCCCUAGAGGAGAUAAACAUACACCUCUACCUCUACGAUCAACUGCAUUAUAUAUCUCGCUUCCUGCAGUUUCGAAAGUAACAGGAAACAUGAGACAGAAAAAGCAUACGCCGAAGAAGUCAGUCAGCUGUCUGGUUUGUUUACAUCAGGAGGAGGCGGCAGAACAGAGGCUGUCUUGACAGAAUACCGCAAAGUUUUGUUUACUGUGACAUGUAACAUCAAAUGAUAAGGACUGGGAGCCAUGGGCGCGUUCACGUUUCUGUCUGUGCUGUACUGGUUGCUUUUUUGCCCUGUGGGGUCCGUGGAACAGGUGGCAUUUGUAGAGGUGUUUCUGAAAGACCAUCAGGAUGUUUUACAGGGAGAGGUGGUCCAGGAGAGCCUGGAGAACGACCCCGUGGAAAACCAAAGCAAAAAGAAACACGAUCUCGAAGGAGACCUGGUUUUAAUAAAAGAUGAAGCUCUUGAAAUGAACAGUAAUGAAAAAGAUACAGGAGAUCAGAAUCCCUGGAUAGGAGUGGUACCGGUUCGAAUGGAGGAUGGCACAGUUUCUAAUAACAACAACCAAGAGUCUUUUGCUUCCUCUGUGGUUAAUAAGAUGAAGCGAGCUCUUGUUUUAGGUGCAUCUGCUUUGAUCAUACUGGCCUUGAACCAGAAUACCGUCAGAGAGAUGGAUCUCUCUCAGGUCCUCUCAAAGCCAAUCAUUGUUAUUCAGACGUCUGAAAAUGUUACCAAGCUUAUCGGAGCACUCCUCAGGGGCCUUCAUGCAACAGCAAAAAUUACCUAUAAGAGUUUUCUACAGGACAGCCUGGGGGCCACCCUGACCCUUUGGUCCACCUGUGGGCGUUCAAGAAGUGGGCUGUACGGAGAGUGGCAGGGGGUCAUAUGCACCGGAGAGACCAACUCUCAAGUCCAAAAAUAUCUUCAGCAGCUGUGGAACACUGUUGUUCUGGUGGCCCUGGUCCUCUGCACAGGUGUCAUAGUUCAAGCCCGCUGGCAGUUCCAGGACAACCAGUUCAAUGAUGAUUUAGAGUCACACCUUAAGCAGGACAUUUUAAAGAGAUUAUCAGCACUGAAGACCAGAAUAUACCGGCAACCUAAAGUGAGGUGUGACCCCACCCAAACACAGCCAAUGGAGGUGGAGAAUUGUGCAGUUUGUUUAGAGCAAUACAACAACAACCAGGUGACUUUCUUGGGAAAUAUACGUGUUUAAGGGUGUUACCGUGUCUCCACGAGUUCCACAGAGAUUGCGUGGAUCCCUGGCUUCUCCUGCAGCAGACCUGUCCACUCUGCAAACGCAGUGUACUCGGUAAUCAUUAUUGACCUGGACCAGAAUGGACUAGUCUUGAUUAGUGAAUUUAGACUGACUUCCCUGCGUGGUUCAGGUUUUCAUGGCAACUAAACCCCUCCUCUGUACUUUACGGUCAGGAUGCCGGUAAUGAUCUUUGACCACUCCAAGCACUAUGAACUUUGACUUCUUACAUGACCCGAAGAGACAAGAUUUUUGGUCAGACCACUUGAGAAGUUCCUCAAAGGCAGGGAUUCGUACAUGGGAUCAGUUUUCGGCACAGUUUAGUACUGUAUUUAUCUAUAUUUAACCAGUCCAGCAUUUCAAAGAUUCUCCACCAGUCAUGAAAAUGCUUUAGAACUCAUAAAAUUAACCAGGACUCAUACAUACUGAAAAAGUUCAAAGAAAAUGUUGUUCAAAUACCGUUCAAGAAAUAUCGCUUGACGUGUCACAUACAGGUGCUAAUGUCUGCUCACGUUCCAUUCGUUUUCACAGAUGAAACUGAAGUUCUGGCCCAAAGUUGGUUCGUGUUGAUAUUGAACUAAACAUUAAAACCCCAUGAGACCACAUAAAACCUUGAGUAUGUGAUCAUUCUGCUCUCAACGAAGAAAGAAAACGGGUGUAUCGAUCACUUCUUUAAAUUAGCUUUUUUAAACCCAAGUGAUGAAUGGCAGCCCAAAAAUGGGUCACAGGUCGGUUUUGGUACCAAAUAAGGUUUAUUUACAAAGACGAUCAGUAUUCUAAUGAAAGAUAACUGCAGUGAUGCCUAUGUUGUUUUUCUGCAAAGAUGGAGAUUGUCAUAAUGUUAAAUGUAAUUUUCAAAGAGGAUACAGUGAGAAAGAAAUAUGUAAUAUUUUCAGAACAUUUUACGU